rnacentral:rRNA from 1 species
UGAAAAGUGCGGGGAUGAGGUGUGGGUAGCGGAGAAAUUCCAAUCGAACUUGGAGAUAGCUGGUUCUCUCCGAAAUAGCUUUAGGGCUAGCCUCGAGGUAAAGAGUCAUGGAGGUAGAGCACUGUUUGGACUAGGGGCCCUUCUCGGGUUACCGAAUUCAGAUAAACUCCGAAUGCCAUGUACUUAUACUCGGGAGUCAGACUGCGAGUGAUAAGAUCCGUAGUCGAAAGGGAAACAGCCCAGACCACCAGUUAAGGUCCCCAAAUAUAUGUUAAGUGGAAAAGGAUGUGGGGUUGCUUAGACAACCAGGAUGUUGGCUUAGAAGCAGCCACCAUUGAAAGAGUGCGUAAUAGCUCACUGGUCGAGUGACCCCGCGCCGAAAAUGUACCGGGGCUAAACAUAUUACCGAAACUGUGGAUGAACCUCUUUAGAGGUUCGUGGUAGGAGAGCGUUCUAAGGGCGGUGAAGUCAGACCGGAAGGACUGGUGGAGCGCUUAGAAGUGAGAAUGCCGGUAUGAGUAGCGAAAGAAGGGUGAGAAUCCCUUCCACCGAAUAUCUAAGGUUUCCUGAGGAAGGCUCGUCCGCUCAGGGUUAGUCGGGACCUAAGCCGAGGCCGAUAGGCGUAGGCGAUGGACAACAGGUAGAGAUUCCUGUACCAGUGCUAAUUGUUUAACCGAUGGGGUGACACAGAAGGAUAGGGAAUCGCACGAAUGGAAAUGUGCGUCCAAGCAGUGAGUGUGAG